AUCCGGAUGACGAGUCCCAAACAGGACGAAGUGCGCUUCACCCGGGAU
rnacentral:hammerhead_ribozyme from 1 species